rnacentral:rRNA from 1 species
GAGGAUGAUCAGCCACACUGGAACUGAGACACGGCCCAGACUCCUACGGGAGGCUGCAGUCGAGAAUCAUUGUCAAUGCACGAAAGUGUGAACAUGCGACGCCGCGUGGAGGAAGACGGCCUUCGGGUUGUAGACUCCUGUCAGCAGGGAGGAAGGACAGCAUCACUAAUAUUGGUGUUGUUUGACAGUACCUGCAGAGGAAGUCACGGCUAACUCUGUGCCAGCAGCCGCGGUAAUACAGAGGUGGCGAACGUUGUUCGGAUUUACUGGGCGUAAAGGGUCCGCAGGCGGUUCGGUGUGUCGGAUGUGAAAGCUCACAGCUCAACUGUGGAAAUGCAUUCGAAACUGCCGGGCUAGAGUACUGGAGAGGUGAAGGGAACACUUGGUGUAGCGGUGAAAUGCGUAGAUAUCAAGUGGAACACCGGAGGCGAAGGCGCUUCACUGGACAGAUACUGACGCUCAUGGACGAAAGCUAGGGUAGCGAAAGGGAUUAGAUACCCCUGUAGUCCUAGCCGUAAACGGUGUGCACUAGACGUGGGUGGAUUUACCCCCAUCCGUGUCUGAGCUAACGCAUUAAGUGCACCGCCUGGGGAGUACGGUCGCAAGAUUAAAACUCAAAGGAAUUGACGGGGACCCGCACAAGCGGUGGAGCAUGUGGCUUAAUUCGAUGCAACGCGAAGAACCUUACCUGGACUUGACAUAUAGCUGCAUACGACCUGAAAGGGACGUAGCCUUCGAGGGUGCUAUACAGGUGCUGCAUGGCUGUCGUCAGCUCGUGCCGUGAGGUGUUGGGUUAAGUCCCGCAACGAGCGCAACCCCUGUGUUUAGUUGCCAGCACGUAAUGGUGGGAACUCUAAACAGACUGCUUGUGAAAACAAGAGGAAGGUGGGGAUGACGUCAAGUCAGUAUGGUCCUUAUGUCCAGGGCUGCACACGUGCUACAAUGGGCGAUACAAUAGGAAGCCAAACCGUGAGGUGGAGCAAAUCCUCAAAAUCGUCCCCAGUUCGGAUUGUAGUCUGAAACUCGACUGCGUGAAGUUGGAAUCGCUAGUAAAGGCGUAUCAGCUACGACGCCUUGAAUACGUUCCCGGGUCUUGUACACACCGCCCGUCACAUCAUGGAAGUUUGUUGCACCCGAAGUCGCUGAUCCAACCUGUCAAAGGAGGAAGGCGCCUAAGGUGUGAUAGAUAACUGGGAUGAAGUCGGAACAAGGUA